rnacentral:tRNA from 1 species
GCAUUAGUGGUUCAAUGGUAGAACUCUCUCCUUCCACACGGAGACCAGGGUUCAAUUCCAGCUAAUGCA